rnacentral:rRNA from 1 species
CCCUUAGAUGUUCUGGGCCGCACGCGCGCUACGCUGACGAUGGCAACGAGUUUUUCCUUCGCCGAAAGGUGUGGGUAAUCUUUUGAAACAUCGUCGUGCUGGGGAUAGAUCAUUGCAAUUUUUGAUCUUGAACGAGGAAUUCCUAGUAAGCGCGAGUCAUCAGCUCGCGUUGAUUACGUCCCUGCCCUUUGUACACACCGCCCGUCGCUACUACCGAUUGAAUGGUUUAGUGAGGACUCCUGAUUGGCGCCGCCGCCCCGGCAACGGAGCAGCGGACUGCCGAAAAGUUGUUCAAACUUGAUCAUUUAGAGGAAGUAAAAGUCGUAACA